AUUGAACGCUGGCGGCAUGCUUUACACAUGCAAGUCGAACGGCAGCACAGGGAGCUUGCUCCCGGGUGGCGAGUGGCGCACGGGUGAGUAAUACAUCGGAACGUGUCCUGUUGUGGGGGAUAACUGCUCGAAAGGGUGGCUAAUACCGCAUGAGACCUGAGGGUGAAAGCGGGGGAUCGCAAGACCUCGCGCAAUUGGAGCGGCCGAUGCCCGAUUAGCUAGUUGGUGAGGUAAAGGCUCACCAAGGCGACGAUCGGUAGCUGGUCUGAGAGGACGACCAGCCACACUGGGACUGAGACACGGCCCAGACUCCUACGGGAGGCAGCAGUGGGGAAUAUUGCACAAUGGGCGCAAGCCUGAUGCAGCAACGCCGCGUGGAGGAAGACGGUUUUCGGAUUGUAAACUCCUGUUCUUAGUGAAGAAUAAUGACGGUAGCUAAGGAGCAAGCCACGGCUAACUCCGUGCCAGCAGCCG
rnacentral:rRNA from 1 species